CGACGAUCAAAUUACUCUGAAAGCACUGAUUCUCGUUCGAUCACUGAAGAUAAACAAUGUUGAACUUGGUUAGUACUCAGACGGGUCACCACUUGGGAAAACCCAGUAUUGUAAG